rnacentral:rRNA from 1 species
AACGAACGCUGGCGGCGCGCCUAAUACAUGCAAGUCGAGCGAGAAGGUGUAGCAAUACACUUGUAAAGCGGCGAACGGGUGAGGAAUGCAUGGGUAACCUACCCUCGAGUGGGGAAUAACUAGCCGAAAGGUUAGCUAAUACCGCAUACGUUUCCGGAACUUCGGUUUCGGAAAGAAAGCAAUACCGUGGGUAUUGCGCUCCUGGAUGGGCUCAUGUCCUAUCAGCUUGUUGGUGAGGUAACGGCUCACCAAGGCUUCGACGGGUAGCUGGUCUGAGAGGACGAUCAGCCACACUGGCACUGCGACACGGGCCAGACUCCUACGGGAGCAGCAGUAAGGAAUAUUGCGCAAUGGACGAAAGUCUGACGCAGCGACGCCGCGUGGGGGGAUGAAGGUCUUAGGGAUUGUAAAAAUUCUUUCACCGGGGACGAUAAUGACGGUACCCGGAGAAG